UACGAAGGGGGCUAGCGUUGCUCGGAAUCACUGGGCGUAAAGGGUGCGUAGGCGGGCCUUUAAGUCAGGGGUGAAAUCCUGGAGCUCAACUCCAGAACUGCCUUUGAUACUGAAGAUCUUGAGUUCGGGAGAGGUGAGUGGAACUGCGAGUGUAGAGGUGAAAUUCGUAGAUAUUCGCAAGAACACCAGUGGCGAAGGCGGCUCCCUGGCCCGAUACUGACGCUGAGGCACGAAAGCGUGGGGAGCAAACAGG
rnacentral:rRNA from 1 species